rnacentral:rRNA from 1 species
GGUUUAAUUCGAUGAUACGCGAGGAACCUUACCCGGGCUUGAAUUGCAGAGGAAGAAUUUGGAGACAAUGACGCCCUUCGGGGUCGUCUGUGAAGGUGCUGCAUGGUUGUCGUCAGCUCGUGCCGUGAGGUGUCGGCUUAAGUGCCAUAACGAGCGCAACCCCUCUCCUUAGUUGCCAUCAGGUCAAGCUGGGCACUCUGGGGACACUGCCACCGUAAGGUGUGA